AUUGAACGCUGGCGGCAUGACUUACACAUGCAAGUCGAACGGUAACAGGUCUUCGGAUGCUGACGAGUGGCGAACGGGUGAGUAAUACAUCGGAACGUGCCCGAUCGUGGGGGAUAACGGAGCGAAAGCUUUGCUAAUACCGCAUACGAUCUACGGAUGAAAGCAGGGGACCGCAAGGCCUUGCGCGAACGGAGCGGCCGAUAGCAGAUUAGGUAGUUGGUGGGAUAAAAGCUUACCAAGCCGACGAUCUGUAGCUGGUCUGAGAGGACGACCAGCCACACUGGGACUGAGACACGGCCCAGACUCCUACGGGAGGCAGCAGUGGGGAAUUUUGGACAAUGGGCGCAAGCCUGAUCCAGCAAUGCCGCGUGCAGGAUGAAGGCCUUCGGGUUGUAAGCUGCUUUUGUACGGAACGAAAAGGCUCUGGUUAAUACCUGGGGCUCAUGACGGUACCGUAAGAAUAAGCACCGGCUAACUACGUGCCAGCCGCCGCAGUAAAAC
rnacentral:rRNA from 1 species